UACAGAGGGUGCAAGCGUUGUCCGGAAUUAUUGGGCGUAAAGAGCGCGUAGGCGGUCCGAUAGGUCGGGCUGUGAAAGUCAGGGGCUCAACCCUUGAAAGCCGGCCGAUACUGUCGGACUAGAGUCCGGAAGAGGCAAGUGGAAUUCCCGGUGUAGCGGUGAAAUGCGCAGAUAUCGGGAGGAACACCAAUGGCGAAGGCAGCUUGCUGGGACGGUACUGACGCUGAGGCGCGAAAAGCGGUGGGGGAGCAAACAGG
rnacentral:rRNA from 1 species